rnacentral:lncRNA from 11 species
GCUAUUUCUGUUGUAAUCUUGUUUUGGUCACUGAGACACCAAGAAAAAAAAAAGAUGCAGAGGAAGAAGCUGAAGAAUAGGAAGAAGAUGCCACUUCCAACUCUACCCAAUAUGAUGAGAGAAUAACAAUCCUAAACAUGUCCACCAGUCAUCAUUCAGAUUAUCACCCGUGAUUUUUAUUACGUCUCCAC